AGUGAACGCUGGCGGUAGGCCUAACACAUGCAAGUCGAACGGCAGCACAGUAAGAGCUUGCUCUUACGGGUGGCGAGUGGCGGACGGGUGAGGAAUACAUCGGAAUCUACUUUUUCGUGGGGGAUAACGUAGGGAAACUUACUCUAAUACCGCAUACGACCUACGGGUGAAAGCAGGGGAUCUUCGGACCUUGCGCGAUUGAAUGAGCCGAUGUCGGAUUAGCUAGUUGGCGGGGUAAAGGCCCACCAAGGCGACGAUCCGUAGCUGGUCUGAGAGGAUGAUCAGCCACACUGGAACUGAGACACGGUCCAGACUCCUACGGGAGGCAGCAGUGGGGAAUAUUGGACAAUGGGCGAAAGCCUGAUCCAGCCAUACCGCGUGGGUGAAGAAGGCCUUCGGGUUGUAAAGCCCUUUUGUUGGGAAAGAAAAGCAGCAGGUUAAUACCCCGCUGUUCUGACGGUACCCAAAGAAUAAGCACCGGCUAACUUCGUG
rnacentral:rRNA from 1 species